GGGGGUGCUGCUCAGUGGUAGAGCAUUUGCUUAGCAUGCACAAAGCCCUGGGUUUGAUCCCCAGCACUGCAA
rnacentral:tRNA from 1 species